rnacentral:lncRNA from 1 species
CUGCUUCCCAUUAUAAAGUAACUUGGUUGCUGUGUAUCUGAAGUUAUGCUAGUAGACAAUGCAAUUUUCUAUGCCUUAAAUUGCAAAAUGGUCUUGGGUUGGCCCUUGUUUUGCAUCUGCCAGAACUAUUUGGCUAAAGCAUCUGCCAGCAUUUCGUCUCCCAGUAAAACAUUUACACAAGAAUUUGUCCUCUUCUUUUGUUGACAGUUCAGGGUUUGAGAGCAUUAACUCCUAAUUCAGAGAACUCCAGAAUUUCAUAUGGUUCUGCAGUCCUCUUUAGUUCUCAGUGCUCAUUUCAGAUAUUGCCCAUCACGAAUCAAUCAGGAUGCAUAAGCUGCUGCUUCUCGGCCUCUCUGCUUUGCUCUUCUGCACUAUUGACAAGGAGCUCUAUUACGUCAGUUACGAUUGCCUCCAUCAUGACUAUUUGAUAUGGUAUUGCAAUAAAACUGAAAAGGACGAAAGAUACACCCAUGUUGCGACUUGCUGUGAGACUGAUAAAUGCAAUGGAGAAAUACCCCGUCUGCCUUGGAGCUGAAAUUAAAUGAUUGAAAAGAUCCAGAGAGGGUUGUAAGCUGGCUCUUCUCAAAGAAAAGGACUGCAAACUCACUCUGCUCCCCUUUCUUCAACAUUUGAAUUUUUAAAAAAUUUAACAGAUUGGUCAGAUGUGUGGUGUAGAAAUGGAAUCAAUCAAUCAAUUGAUCGAUCAAUCAAUCAAUCAAAUUGAUGCAAAAACACAAUUUUGAGAUGAAAUUAAAACAAUGAAGGCUUUUGCAUUGGUAAUAAGAGCCACUGUUGAAUCAGGUUUUUCUUAAAUAAAAAUGGUUUUAAAAACA